GCCGAUUUCAAAAUAUGAAAUCGGAUCCAUACAAAGUUAAUGAAUUUAAACUAUGGCAAACUGAAGAAAAUAAAUUUAAUAUUUUUCAUACUUUCGAAAUCUUCUGUACAAUUGUGUAAGGCGUUUUUUGCGUGGAACCAGUUUCGGUAACUUGGAAGGUUAAUGAGAGCGUGCACUUUUGUCAACAAAAUAAAAACCGGUCCGUUGCCAAUUUAAGAGGAUACAAAGUUUGAGAUCUAUUAACUAACGUAUUUAAUAUACCAAAUUUACUUAAUAAUAUGUCAGCCUAAUAUUUGUAACUUACAGUUUAAAUGGAGGUAAUUUAUCUAAAAAGGUAUCCCCAUUAACAUUAACAAAUUAUAUACUUAAUUAUUGUUAAUGUAUCGGACUAAUAGCUAAUUUUGUUAGAGAUACUUUAAUCGAAGAGAAAAGGGCAGGAGAUCCACCUCUAAGAUAAAAAUUCAUGAAUUUUAAAUAAUAUGGUUUAUUAGGUUAGUUUGUCAGGUUAGUUUUUAAUAAAUGUGUUUGCUUGUCUGCGUGUUAUCUUCUCUUUUUACAGUUGCUAGUACGUUUUGUCCAGAUUUCUUACUGAAACUGAGGAAUCGUAACGCUGCACUUUAUAAUCAUGGAGGUAAAGGUAGACAAGGCGUAGAUUGAAUUUAGGAGUACAAAUAGUAAUACUAAAAUUAAUCCUUGUGUUGUGCAAAGGUAAAGGUGUAUUAAGUAUUAUUGAGUAUUUUAUAUACAUAACUCUGUUUGGUUUGUGUAUCAUUUUGAAAUCAAUGUGAUAACUUUGCUUUUACACUGUUAUUAAGUUUGACAAUCCAUGUUUAAAUAUUUAUUUCAAGAUAUGCUUGUAGCAGUUUUAUGUUCCCUGAGUAUUGUGUUUCAUGCAUCACCGCUACACGGUUUGAAUUGUGCUAAAUGAAACUCAAUAUGUUUCUGCUUUCCACACUUUAAAUGGUAUUGGGAGGAAGCGGUGAUAGACUAGUGGUUAGGAUUUCGGCUCCACUUUCGGGGGGCCGAGUUCGAAUCCCGUCGCGCACCUAUAACUUUCUAAGUUAUGUGCGUUUAUUAAAAUAUCACUUGCUUCAACGGUGAAGGAAAACAUCGUGAGGAAACCUGCAUGCCUGAGAAUUCUUCAUAAGUUCCUCAAAGGCAUGUCGAGUCCACCAAUCCGUACUGGGUCAUCGUGGUGGACUAGGGCCUAUAGACCCAUCUAAUUGUGGGAGGAGACAUCACCGUAGUCGCACUCCUUCCUGCUACUUGUGUAAUCGAGCAGGUGAGAGUUUUUUCAAUGGCAGGUUUCUUUUUAGUUAAGAAGUAAAAGUUAAUUUCUAUAGAUUGUAAAUGGAGGUACGAAAAAAUUGAUAUAUAGGUUGAGCGUGUACUGCGUGUACUGCAUAGAAUGUGAUAACGUUGCUUUUACACAGUUUAUUUAGAUGUUUGAAUAUUUAUUUCAAGAUAUGCUUUUAGCAGUUUUUUGUUCCCUGAGUAUUGUGUUUCAUGCAUCUCGCCAUCCGGUUUGAAUUGUGCUAAAUGAAACUCAAUAUGUUUCUACUUUCCACACUUUAAAUGGUAUUGGGAGGAAGCGAUGAUAGACUAGUGGUUAGGAUUUCGGCUCCACUUUCGGGGGGCCGAGUUCGAAUCCCGUCGCGCACCUAUAACUUUCUAAGUUAUGUGCGUUUAUUAAAAUAUCACUUGCUUCAACGGUGAAGGAAAACAUCGUGAGGAAACCUGCAUGCCUGAGAAUUCUUCAUAAGUUCCUCAAAGGCAUGUCGAGUCCACCAAUCCGCACUGGGUUGACGUGGUUUGGCGAGAGUUUUUUCCUUUUAGUUAAGAAGUAAAAGUUAAUUUCUAUAGACUGUAAAUGGAGGUACGAAAAAAUGUUGAUAUAGGUCGAGCGUGUACUGCGUAGAACAUUAAUUAAUGUGACACCUUUGCUUUUACACAGUUAUUUAGUUUGACAAUCCAUGUUUAAAUAUUUAUUCCAAGAUAUAAUGUUUGCAGCAGUGUAGUUCAUAUUGUGUUUCAUGCAUCAAGUUCUACGCUUUGGAUUAUGCUAAAUGAAACUCAAUACAUGGUUCACCAUUCGUUAAAUAUGCAAUUACUGAGGCGCAAGGCUUCCCUAUAGUUAUUUUUUACAGACGGGAAAGACCUGCGCGCACAUACAGGAUGGCUGAGUAAUACGCUCUACUCAUACAUUUCUGUAUAUCGCUUAAAACUAAUCCAGAUAAAAUUUCCUAAUUUAGAGAAGCCUUCUCUAAAUUCUUUACAGAAGUGCGUCCCGCAACUUUAUGUCGCAGGUUAACUUCAGUAUUUACUAUUCUUGAGUAGUAGUCGAGAUGCAGGUAUUCUAUGAAUAUUAAAGGAUUCGCAAUAUGCAUUUCCCGGAAUCAAAUUUGACCGCGCGCAAAAAAGGUAUAGGUAAUUCAGCGUAACAUACGUUUUAUUUACAAACGUGAGUUGAGAGAGUCUGCGUAGUAAGUAAAUCAUGUUCAGCACCAGAAUAAGGCGUCGCGAUCUUCUACUUGAGGUUUAGCAUCUCAAAUGUCGCAGUAUUUUAUUACAAAGAUGUACGAGGUUCGCUGUAAGUAAGGAUUUAAUUGCCUUACUUUUAUUUCUCACAGACUCAUCACCUCGUAAAGGCGUCCACAGUGCCUCGCGGUUUAAAGACUCCGAAAAGGUUUUUAUCAAGUAGACUAAAUGUAUGGGCUUUAACCGAUAAUAAAAAAAAGAUUUUGAGAUUGGUGAGCGCGUAUAUCCGGUAUGCAGAUAUGAAAGGUUUUUACCAAUUGAUAAUAAUGAACAACCUGUAGCACCUGCAAUCCUGGCGCCAAAUAUGUCGAAUUAGUGCAUACAGAGAAAGCAAUUUAACACUGAACGUCAGCUGUUGCAUGUUUUGAUAUGGUACUCGAGAAGUUUUCCCCAGAUACACAGUAAGCUAUGACGUUGUUUUCUGUGACCUUCCAUGGUAGUCCCCGCAAUGAUAAGAUCUUAUGAAUCUCCAGCUGCUUUGACCACGUGCUUGAAAUACACAGAGGAACGGUUGCAGCUGUUUACGAUUCAACGUUUGUAUUAAUUUUAAAUGAGCGUCGGCGGUGCUCGAUAUAUUUGAUCCGGAAUGAUUGCAGAAUUAAAAUUCCGCUGACGGAGGUUGCAGUACUGUAGCUACGAAAGGUUAAUCUUAUUUUAAUAGUACAGAAAAUAUAAAGCCCUUGCGGCAUCCAGAUUGAGAGGAUUAUAGUUCGAGUGUGCGCUCUAAGAACAUAGAAGUAUAUCUCUGUAAUCUCUAUGCAGUAGAAAAACGACUUCGGUGUCCGUAUAACAGCGAGAAAAAGGUAUAGAAGGAAACGUUUUAUUAGCAUGUUCUCUAUGUCACAGAAUGUCUCUAAUCUUUCUAUCGGCAGCAUCGUGGAGACAACAGAGGUGCCAGUUUUAAGCCUUAUUUAGAAUUGCUGCUUCCUGUUAAUGCCUGCUGUCGUCUACCCUCACACUAUAGUUGGUACUGCAGUCUUGGUUUUAUUAUUAGAACUGUAAUUAAGAAUAACAAAUUGUUUUUCCGAUAUAGGUGCACUUGGUUAAUAUAGAGCCUACGAAACAUAGCAUGCUUCGACGUGAAAUAACAAUAGGAACUUUUUAACAAUCCCAUUGCACGGAAAUUGGUUUUAUAUUAAUAGCAAACAAGAAUACGUUCUUUCAGUUUAUGGUAGGGAUACAUACUUGCGAUUAUGGAUGCGAUAAUGGAUUUAUGCAACGGUGGAGGAGAUCAUCUAUAAAAUAAUUAGCUUGCUUUAAACCUGGUGUUUAAUUGGAUACAAUUGAAGAGUUUUUGCUAUUGGAAAGAUAUAAUGCGAGCAUUUAAUUGGCAUGUUUGGAUUGAUCUGUUUCGAGAAGUCGAAAAUCUCAGAUACAUUAGUUGACAAGCAAAACGUUGCCGUAAAUUACCUUGGCAACGCUCAUGUGUAAGUAUUCAGUAUGAUGUGAUGGUAUAUUUAACUGUAGCUUUCGUAAAUUAACGUGCAGCAUAAUUGUUUUAUAGGUAGUCCUUAAUGCUAAUGGGUAUCGAUAUAAAUGUUGAUUAACUUUUAGAAAAUUUACCUAUGUACAUGAAGUUCAACAUUGGCAUUUGUUUCUUAGUAGGUACGCAAAUAGUCACUGCAUUUACUGUUGUAGCGGUUUGUUUUGGCUUGUGCGUGUUGUUUUCUUCUAAACUGCAAUUAUGGUUGUCCCUUUUGGCUUUUGUCCCCUAAAAUUGAAGUUGUUGUGUUCUCAUUGUUAGAGAAUAGGGCUUUAAAACAAAAGGUACAAAAUAUUUUAAAAAACUGAUUUUAACGCCUUUUAGUUUUUAUUGAAUUCUGUAUCUAUAUUUACAACAUGAUAUACUGUAUAAAUCUUCAUUGUUUCAUUAUCACUAAACAAGAUUUUCAUCUUUAAAUGUGAAAUGUCGACACUCAAACCAAUGUACAUUUUGAAGCCCUUACAAGUCAACAUUUAGAAGCACUAAGCUUUUGAGCUUUUUUCUUUGAUUGGCAAUUAACAGCGUAAUUAAAUUUGGGCCUUAUUAAUAAACGCGGCAUAACGGCGGAAUAGUUAUGCAGUGUUUUUUCACGUUGACAUUUUAUUUUUUCUGUCAGUUAAAGUGACAAAACACUGCAUAAUCAUUCCGAAGUUAUGCCACGUUUAUUAAUAAGGCACUCUAUGUAUUUAUUUGGGUAUACUAUCGACACUCAGUAGAAGCAUCAAAAUAAUUAAUAAUUUAUCUAAAUGUGGGCUUUAAGUAUCAAUCUAUUUAAUUUUAAGUUGGUUUUGUUUGUUUAUAAUAUGUAUUAUUUAUCACACUGUAAAUUUACACACAGCACCAAUAAAUAUCCUAAACAGUGUUAAUGGUAGGGAAAACACGAUAAAAUUAAGUGACAAAUUAUAUUAAUCACUAAGGUAGUGUAAUAAGAAUAAUAAUAUAAUAAUAGGUAUCGGACAAAUAGAACUUAUUUUUAUAGGUACCAAUUAAUUAAGGAACAUUAUGGAAACAUAAAAUAAGAUUAAUUAUAGAAAUAAUUAGGAUUAUAAGAACGUAAACUAAAUAACUUAGUUAUUUAGGAUAUAGUUUUGUUACAGAUUCUUUAAAAUUUUAUUUUAGGUACAGAAAACGCGUUAACAUAUGUUUUAAGAACUUGCCACAGUAGGAAAAUUUGAUAACUGAAGGAGUUUGAUCAUUUUAUGAAAGAGCGUAUUGCUCAAUAAUCACCUUUAUAGGUAGAUAGAACCGGGCGAUGAUAGGUAGAGUUGAAUGAGAUCAGGCAGGGUGAGAACAAAAUUUACAUUAAUUGUCAAAAAAUACGGCUUUAAAUUCAUUCAAAAAAGGUGAUGCCUGUGGAGUUUGUUGCGCCGCUUCUUCUCCACAGAAGUACACCUUCCGAAGCGGUGGUACAUUUUUCUAAAUUAAAAAAAAAAA